rnacentral:rRNA from 1 species
AGAGACAGCAGCAGCCACGGUAAUACAGAGGGUGCGAGCGUUAAUCGGAUUUACUGGGCGUAAAGCGUGCGUAGGCGGCUUCUUAAGUCGGAUGUGAAAUCCCUGAGCUUAACUUAGGAAUUGCAUUCGAUACUGGGAUGCUAGAGUAUGGGAGAGGAUGGUAGAAUUCCAGGUGUAGCGGUGAAAUGCGUAGAGAUCUGGAGGAAUACCGAUGGCGAAGGCAGCCAUCUGGCCUAAUACUGACGCUGAGGUACGAAAGCAUGGGGAGCAAACAGGAUUAGAUACCCCAGUAGUCCCUGUCUCUUAUAC